CCAGGACAGCAUGAACAACCCUAACAGCAGUCUGGCUCUCCGCUCCCCUACUCGCUGCCUUAUCUAGAAUGUGGGAAGCGUGCAAAGCAGGGAAACACUGGGAACGGGGGCCACCAGCGCGGGCGGCAGAUAAACACACAAUGAGCUGGCACAGCCACAAGCCGAGAGGCUCAUUCUUCCCCGGAUUCAGACUCGUUAUCAGCGUUUCCGUGGAAAACACGCACAGAAGGACGGCAGCAGAGGAAGCGGGAGGCCGGCACGGCCGAGGGGCACUCACCUCAUAGCCCUUCUCCAGCAGGAACUCGGCCAGUGUGGACCCUGGACAGAAAGGAAAUAAGAGUUUGGCCUGGUGCCUCUGCUCUGAAAGAAGCUGGAAAGCCAGCAUCUCCUGGCCGAGACAGGAGGAGACUCCCACUCGGGCUCGGCCCUGCACACCCCACCCUCGUCUGCACACCCACACGUGGGCAGGGUGAGAGCAGCCCCCACGGGGCCUGUACAGCUCACGCUCUGCUAUCAGACGACUCCAGUAGACACAUGAGUCACGGGCAGAGGCCAGGCUGCUGGAUAAAGGAAAAGCCAUGAAAUUCUCCCACGCCGACCUGGUCUGUCCUGGACGGCACCGGGCCCGGGAAAUAAAUCCCCACCCUCCAGCCUGACAUCAAGGUGGGAGAAACUGAGGAGAUGCAGGAAGCAGAUCCGUGUCAAAAUCCUUUUAAAGAUCCGCCUGACUGGCCAGGGCAGUGCCGCUGUGAAUACCUCCUUUCACGUCUAGAACAAUAUACCAACUGGAAGUGCUUAUAACUCAAGGCUCCAAAUACACUGAUAAAGACUGGCUCAGGUCUGCAGAGAAGUGAAUAAUAAAUUACCAGUAACCUUCAUGCUUAAAAACAAUCUCGUUGUAUUAAGUGGAUGCAUAAAUUAAAACUGUGCAGAAGUUGAAAAUUGCGUUUCUCCCUUUCCUUUUCCCUUUCUCAUUAUCUCGCAAAGCGACAGUCCAGGCAAUUAAAGACUGUUUCUCUGCAAAGCACAUGCUUUUUUCCGUAGCUCUAAUCGUCCGAGUGAUUUAUAGAGGAAAUGAUUUUUUGCAGGUACUCUAACUAAAACAGAGCUGCUCUGUGUGCUGUGUUGAAGACCACGCUUAAUGAAAAACUCUAAAUUUGGAAGCGGGAAAAAACUUCAUACUGAAAAGAGGAGAAUUAUUAAAUUUUCGUAUUUACCCGACUUAGUAAUUUUCCCCGUACACUUCUUUUUAAAAUCCGUGCCCUGGCUGAUGGAGGAACGCAAGACAAAUGUCCUUUUGUUUAUGGCUGUAUAAGGGUCAUGAGAAUGACCAAAGGAUGCACCUAUAGAGGACUAGACCUUUUUUCAUUUUACUGCAAUUCAUUGAUCAGGUUGUUACUUAAAGUCACUGCUGGUGACAAGGAGGGUUUAACUAUUUACAAAGAUUCCUGUUCUCUUCAACCCAAUCUCUUUCAGGGAUAUCAUUAGUUGGCACAAUCAGCUCAGACUGUUUCUGCCAUGAGCGGAUGACAGAAAUGUCACUUACAGGCACCCUGCCCGUUUCAGAUCUGCUUUUGCCAGGACGGAGUCCCCACCAGGCUGGAGACACUGUAACUCGCAGAACCGUGAUACACAUGUAACAAAAUCACUGAAGGGCAGGUGAAGGGCAAGCGGGUGCGCACACGUGUACAUAACCGCCCAGAAAGCAGCGCUGCGUAAAUCAAACUGAGGAAGGCAGAUAAAGGAAGGCGGCGUGCCUGCCCGGCCCCAGGACUGCGCCCGCCUCGUGGCCUGUGCUGGCUGCGGGCAGGUUCGUCUGGUCAAAUGCCAUUUCGUGGACUAGGAGAGCUCUGUGUUUAUCUGCUGGGGCUGCUGUGUUUGGCAUGGGGGUUCUGCCACUCAGACAAGGUGUCAAGAAACACUUUGGGGAAGAUCAGACACUUGACAGCGUGCCUGCAAGCUCCCUCUCCUCAUCAGGGCCUUUCGGCCCAUCCCACCCCGAUAGGUUUCAUCUGGGUGUGUUUCUAGCCAGCUCGGCCCAACACACGACUUGUGCAGGUUCACACCUCUGGCUGGUGUCACCUUGACAUUUUGCUGUCUUUCGGCAGUAGCAAUGGGGCUUAGCUAUUAUUCAACCACGCACUCUUGAAAAAGCACUACAAAGCUGUAUGUUUUCAUCCAAGAGAAGUGCGUGCCAACCAUGCACUUCUUAAACUUCGACUUAAUAGGACUGGGAGGAAACACCAAGACGACUCCGCCCUACCGAAGACCGGGGUCUCGGAAGGGUGUUGGGGGUGGGGUGGGUCCCUGGGUGGAAAUACUGUCCACCUGACAGGCCACGUACCUGACUCCCAUCCUGGUCACAGCAGCGCCAAGCUCCAAAUUCCCGAACUUGCCCGGGGCUCAGACUGAAACCCUGGAGUCCCUGACCCGCUUACCUCCUCACACCCACCGGGCUCUAUAGCCUCAGAACGCGCCUGCCUCUGACGACGGCUUUGCUCCUGCCGUAGGGCCUAGUGGGGAUACUUAACAACGUUUUGUAAAUGGGGCACCCAUUUGCAGAAAUUGAGAGGUUUUUUUUUUUCCCUACCAAAACAGCAGGCUUAAAAUUCAGAUAAGCUACCACUGCACAUGACACCUUUCGGUAGAUGUAUAGCCAACUCAAUCUGCCAUUAAAGCACAUGGGUUCCUCCCAGUAUUUAUAAUUAUCUCUAAUCAAAUUAGCAAUCUCUUACAUUCCCAUAAUUCUCUAUGGUUGCCAAACACUAGAGGACAUGCUUCCCAUCGAUAUCUCACAACAUCCUGGUGAGAUAGCUGAUAUUAUCCCCAUUUUUCCAGACUAGAAAACUGAACUUUAGAAAGCGUAAAUCCUUGUUCAAGGCCAUAGAGCUACUUAGAGAGCUUGGCAGAACAGGAAAGCAAUCUGUCCGGUCCUAACUGCGUGUUACUUCCAUGUUACUUCUUCAAUCAAAAUAAAAAUGCUUCAACCAAAACAAGGUGCCAACCAAAA
rnacentral:lncRNA from 1 species